rnacentral:rRNA from 1 species
UGCCAGCAGCCGCGGUAAUACGAACUGCGCAAACGUUACUCGGAAUCACUGGGCUUAAAGGGUGCGUAGGCGGCUAAGCAAGUCGGGUGUGAAAUCUUUCGGCCCAACCGGAAAACUGCGCCCGAAACUGCUUAGCUUGAGUGCGAUAGGGGUGUGCGGAACUUCCAGUGGAGCGGUGAAAUGUGUUGAUAUUGGAAGGAACGCCGGUGGCGAAAGCGGCACACUGGGUCGCAACUGACGCUGAGGCACGAAAGCCAGGGGAGCGAACGGGAUUAGAUA